rnacentral:rRNA from 1 species
GACGAACGCUGGCGGCGUGCUUAACACAUGCAAGUCGCACGGAAAGGCCCUGCUUUUGUGGGGUGCUCGAGUGGCGAACGGGUGAGUAACACGUGAGUAACCUGCCCUUGACUUUGGGAUAACUUCAGGAAACUGGGGCUAAUACCGGAUAGGAGCUCCUGCUGCAUGGUGGGGGUUGGAAAGUUUCGGCGGUUGGGGAUGGACUCGCGGCUUAUCAGCUUGUUGGUGGGGUAGUGGCUUACCAAGGCUUUGACGGGUAGCCGGCCUGAGAGGGUGACCGGCCACAUUGGGACUGAGAUACGGCCCAGACUCCUACGGGAGGCAGCAGUGGGGAAUAUUGCACAAUGGGCGGAAGCCUGAUGCAGCAACGCCGCGUGCGGGAUGACGGCCUUCGGGUUGUAAACCGCUUUCGCCUGUGACGAAGCGUGAGUGACGGUAAUGGGUAAAGAAGCACCGGCUAACUACGUG